GCGAAGGAGGAGCCUAAGCAGAAAUCGACUGGUUCCGGUAGGCGGAGGAGACAGAGCACGGAGCACUUGUCGGAGGAUGGGUCGAGUCACAGCAGGAAAAAAAGACAUCACAGGAGCAAGUCGCCCAGACCGAGUCAAAUUUCUCAAGAUUUUAACCAGUUUAACGCGGCCGGAAAAGUAGAAAGCGAGAGAGCUGCUCCUCCAUUCUUCGACCACUACGUAGACCGCAAAGUUCGCUCCAUCUUCAUGGACCCAUCCGAAGUUUUC